CCUACGGGAGGCAGCAGUAGGGAAUAUUGGGCAAUGGAGGCAACUCUGACCCAGCCAUGCCGCGUGCAGGAAGACGGUCCUCUGGAUUGUAAACUGCUUUUGAAUGGGAAGAAUGUGCUCCUUGCGAGGGGUAAUGACGGUACCAUUAGAAUAAGCCACGGCUAACUACGUGCCAGCAGCCGCGGUAAUACGUAGGUGGCGAGCGUUAUCCGGAUUUAUUGGGUUUAAAGGGUGCGUAGGCGGCUUAAUAAGUCGGUGGUUAAAAGUAGCAGCUUAACUGUUUUACAUGCCAUCGAUACUGUUGAGCUUGAGAUAUUUGGAGGCAGCUAGAAUUUCCGGUGUAGCGGUGAAAUGCAUAGAUACCGGAAGGAAUACCAAUUGCGAAGGCAGGUUGCUACGAAUAAACUGACGCUGAUGCACGAAAGCGUGGGGAUCAAACAGGAUUAGAUACCCUGGUAGUCCACGCCGUAAACGAUGAUUACUAGUUGUUGGGGUUUUAAGCCGUUCAGUGACCAAGGGAAACCGAUAAGUAAUCCACCUGGGGAGUACGCCGGCAACGGUGAAACUCAAAGGAAUUGACGG
rnacentral:rRNA from 1 species